GGCAUGUUAUUGGCAGUAAAAUACAAAUUCAAUAGAAUAUUGAUUAAGCGGACUUCAUCAUGACCCAGGGCGUAUUUGCUCAUUGAACGGAAUACUGAUGAUUGACUGUUUGAAGCAAACGGAAACCCAAAAUUGAAAGGCCAUCUUGGUUACAAAAAAUACACUAAAUAAUGUUACAGCAAAGGAGUCAACAUGUAAGUAAUAUUAAAAUAUCAAUAAAAAUAAUACCCUUGACUGCAUCUAAUAUGAAAAUCUGAAACAAACUCAAUUUACUAUAUAAACAACAACAGUGUGUACACACUUCUCUUAAAUAUUUAACAGACGUAAAUUCUGCAAAUAAAAAUUAAUGAAACCAAAACAAAAUAUGCACAUAUAUCAUACAAAUGAUAUAGCAAAUUUAACCAGGUAAGGGGUGAGUGGGCGGGCAAACGACCUUUCUUUGCUGCCACAAAACCUUGCAAUGCACGAGCUAAUUUUCCGCUAAAACAAAUCGUAAAACGAAAAAAUACGAUAAAUACCGAAAACUAUAAAUAGAACCAAUUUAGAAACGUGAAUAAUUUCAUGUAUAGCAUCUUUAAAUAGUUACCCCAUUGCUCGGUAAGCUCGUGUGCGCCCCUGUAAAUCUUGUUAUUGAAUUUAAUGCCAGCACUUUUAUACGUCGCAUUCGAUCUUUUCCAGAAUGUUUUGCCAUACAUUUUAGCCUCUUUGUUUAGAUCCUGGUCAAGUUGCACAUUGAACUGGCAUUAGUGCCACCGGUAGAGUCACCGGAAGUUAGCUUUUGCAUGCUUGUAUUGUCGGGUUUGUUAAUUGCUUGAGUUACGCGGACAGCCUUGUCUACACCAUUCGCGACGCAUUUCGUGUGAGCACGUAUGUGCAAGUUUCAAGUCUGUUUUCCAUAAAGGCUUAAGAAACUGGAAAUUUUCGGGCACGGGUAAAAACUUGAAGGCAGAGUGAAGAGAACUAGUAAGAGUAUGAUACGAAUCGUCGAUUCCGGAUAUACCUAGUGCUUGGAAUUCUUGAAAAGUUCUCGUAGAGCACUAUCGUCUUCUUCAGAAGAAUGGUAUUGGCUGUUUUUCCCUGUCCAGUCAGCGUUUUUCAUUUUAUCAUCGGAACAAAUAUAAAUGGGUCAUGCUUUCAUACAUCGGUAUAAGUAAUUUCAACAGUACCGGUCUGUGAUAAGGAAAAAUUAUACAAUCAUCAUCAAUAAUUUCGCAAUGCAUAACAUUGUCCAUAUUUUCUACAGGCAUGCAUACAUAAUCUAUUAGGGAAGAUUUACUGUUUUCGUACGAGACAAACGAACAUUUGCCCCGACACACGCAUCACUCAUAUUAAUCGUAACAUAAUACAUAUAGGAUAACCAGUUGGGCAGCAGUAAUUUUAUUGGAUUGUUGACAUCAAUCUGUAAAUUAAUGUUAAAGUCUUUCAUGAAUAACGGUAAACCAUAAUCUGAGAACAUGUACCAUAAAUAAUAUAACUUCUCAAGGUAUGCUCACAUCUCGUCAUUUGGGUUAUUAGAGCAUAUCAAACCCACCUGAAAUAUGAAUGCAUACAGAUGUUUGCUCAGUUGUAAUUUAUUUUUGAUAAUCCUAUCAUCAUCUUUAGGCAACAAAGCAAUACGACCGUCUAAGAGUUUGUGCAACGUACGUUACACUAUAUUUGCAGGUUAAAAACAAUGUGAGUGCAGACAUGAAAGAAACAAUCGAUGAUUUAAGGAAAGAAAUCAGCUUUGAAAACAACAACACUUCUGAAAAGACGACACUUCAUGUUGGUGACAUUGAAACUGCGACAGAAAUUAUGAAACUUAUUACUGACCGUUUUGAAGCACAUAACUCUUCCAUUGAAAAUGUGACAGAUUCCUUCGUCGAUGUCGUGGACAAUCUAAUUAGCGAUAGAACAACACAUUCAUGGGGCGCCCUAUUGGACAAGGGCGGGGCUGCCACAGUGAUCAACGUACUAGAUGAGUUUAUAUCCAAAGUUGUUAACAACAGUGCUGUAUCGAAACAAAAUAUGACCGUUCGGAAAGAUAAUAUUUUUCUUGAAAUAGGCUCUGUGGCGCAAUGCUCAAAGAUAAAGUUUCCAAAUGGUGGGAAAAACGGAAAUGUUCCAGAUUGGGCUAUGACGCGACAUGAUUCUGUUGAAGUUGCAUGCCGUGGAAGUGGUGGACUGACGUUUAGUGGUUCCCUCUUCAGGAAUAUGUCGUCGAUAAUGUCGUCAAAAACUAAAUGCUCGAGG